CUUGGCAGCACCUCGCUCUCCAGCCGUCUUAUCGUCGGUAGUAGAGUGGAGGUCAACCAUCCUCCAAUAGUGGCUCCCUGCCCAUGAACUCUGAAGCACGAGGUCAGACAGCAGUUCCUUUAUCUUCAGGUGCUCCAAGCAACAAAGUGCGACAGAGCUGGACUUCAACACAUUUUCUUCAUUGUUACCAUGAUGCCUCAAGGUUUAAUGAGAUCUGCUGGAUGUCUCUCUGCCAUCUGCUCCAUUCCAAAAGCCAGCACCUGUCAGUACAGGCACCAGAAUUUACUCUUCAAUGACUGGCAGAAUAUGUUUCCUCCUUCCUAGAUCCCUAAAAAACAGCACCUGAGUGUCUAACUAGUACUUUGACAUUUCGAUCAGAUUCUUCUUGUUUCACAUGAGAUAGAUUUCACUUUCCUUCAGCAAAACUGAAGGAAAUGGUACAACAGAGUGAUAAAUAUUUUAAGGCACAAAAAAAAAAAAAGUAAAAACCAAACACUCAGGAAUAAAACAUAACCCUGGUUUAUAUAUUUUUUUUUUUGCUUAAUUUCAUUAAAUGCCUUGCUACACCUUAAAUAUACAGAUGGAAGAGCCAGCAUCUCCCAAGUGACUCUUAUCCUGGGGGGGUUCUGUGGCCACUUUUCUCUGGUUUGGGCAGCAAUGUUAUGGUUGUACCUGGAUCCUGGCACUUGUGGGCUCUAACCUGAUCACAUCAUGUGACACAGUCUGGCGAGGGUCUUCCCUUGCAUUCAUGCCUCCAAAGCCUGAGGUAUUUUUCCCUCAUCCUACUUAUGAACAGAUCCAUCCAGCCUGACCUCCUCACCCUACAGUAUCCAGGCAAGAUAGGGUUACCUGUGCAUCUGCAUUAGAUGUCAUGUUGUACAGCAGCCACACACUGCUAAGCCAACAGUGCCAUGUACUACCAGAUCACACAUGGUAUGUUAAUCAGACAGACAACCAUCAAGCUGCUAUACACGUACAUGUGUAAACAAGACAUCUUUUCUUUCUGCUUGCAUUUUUUUCUAUGGCUUCUUUGUCUCACUUAUAUCUCUCUAAGAUGCUAGACACUGGGAGACUUCAUUGCUUGAAGGAGUUUACCAAGGGGUGGUGUUUUUCUAAUAUCAAAGAGUCACUUGGACCCAGGAGGUAAUAAAGGCUCAUUUUAAGAGGA